rnacentral:rRNA from 1 species
UACGGGGGGGGCAAGCGUUGUUCGGAAUUACUGGGCGUAAAGGGCUCGUAGGCGGCCAACUAAGUCGGACGUGAAAUCCCCAGGCUCAACCUGGGAACUGCGUCCGAUACUGGAUGGCUUGAAUUCGGGAGAGGGAUGCAGAAUUCCAGGUGUAGCGGUGAAAUGCGUAGAUAUCUGGAGGAAUACCGGUGGCGAAGGCGGCAUCCUGGACCAAUUCUGACACUGAGGAGCGAAAGCCAGGGGAGCAAACGGG